UACGUAGGGAGCAAGCGUUGUCCGGAAUCAUUGGGCGUAAAGCGCGCGUAGGCGGCCCGGUAAGUCCGUUGUGAAAGUCAAAGGCUCAACCUUUGAACGCCGAUGGAUACUGCCGGGCUAGAGUCCGGAAGAGGCGAGUGGAAUUCCUGGUGUAGCGGUGGAAUGCGCAGAUAUCAGGAGGAACACCACUAGCGAAGGCAGCUCGCUGGGACGGUACUGACGCUGAGGCGCGAAAGCGUGGGGAGCGAACAGG
rnacentral:rRNA from 1 species